GCAAGGGCAAAGGAUUGACCAAUGCUCUGAAAAGUAUCAACCCAGGCUGCUGCAAGAAAACAGAUCUCUUUAACUCUAGCUAAAAUUCAGUGGGUGGAAGAAUCUCAGCUAAUUUCUUCCCUCUGACCAGAUCUUAGUGGCCUUAUCCAUGGAAUGGGAAAUGAUGUGUGUCUUCUGAAGGAAAUUGAAGAAGGAGCUAAGAGUGGUUGAAGAGACACACGUGAAUAAAGGAACCUGCUUUCUCUGUGGGAAAUGGAAGGAAUUUGAUGAGAAGUAACUUCCCCGAUGCAAGAGUAGACAACUCAAAUGGGUGAGGUGUACAACGUGACCAGAUUCUGUGCGCGGAUGUGACGACGCGCACAAUUUCUACCUCAUGCCACUUGUCCUU
rnacentral:lncRNA from 1 species